GAAAGAAAUCAAAAAAGAAAGAGAAAAAGAAAUAGAGAAAAAUGUUAAAAGGACAGAAAGAAUGAAAGAACGAAAGACAAAGAAUAAUUAAAAAAGAAAGACAGUAACAAAAAAAAUUAAAGAAGAGAGGGAAGAAACAAAGAAAGAUUGAAAAGAAAGAAGGAAAGAAAGAUAGAAAGAAAACAGAGGAAGAAAGCUAAAACUAUCAUAAAUAAAUUAUCAGUUUCUUUUUGGCUCAAUUAAGAUAUAGCUACGAAAGAAACCAAGUGUAUCAACACACACACAAAUGCAUAUGUGGGGCUAUCAUGUAUUCAGACGAUAUCACUCGAAACCCGAUCUCUUUGAACUAAAACAGAAGUGAAAAUUUCUCCUUUUACUGCUUACAAAUGACAGUUACCCCAAUUUUUUGGAAAUAUGGACAUUAUAAGAGCUUUUCAUUAGUGUGAAAUGUGAAUUUUGACCGUUCUGUGAGAGAUUUCUGCCAGAGGUUUGCCAAGCUUCGCCAAGCUUCGUUCGUGCAGCUAGUAGAAAAUUCACCAUGUGGGCUGUGUGGCUGGCUAGCCAUAUGUACACUAUGUGACAUGUAUGAUGAUGGUGAAGAUAGUAAAGAUACCACGAAGAGGAAAUCUCGCAAUGCGAGUGAGAAGAAAAGGAGGGACCAGUUCAACAUGCUCAUACAGGAGUUAUGCUCAAUGGUUUCGACCAAGACGAGAAAGCUUGACAAGUCAGCAGUCCUCAGAGCCACCAUACACUUCUUAAAGGCUCAUAAUGGU